CCUACGGGAGGCAGCAGUGAGGAAUAUUGGUCAAUGGACGCAAGUCUGAACCAGCCAUGCCGCGUGCAGGAAGACGGCUCUAUGAGUUGUAAACUGCUUUUGUACGAGGGUAAACGCAGAUACGCGUAUCUGUCUGAAAGUAUCCUACGAAUAAGGAUCGGCUAACUCCGUGCCCGCAGCCGCGGUAAUACGGAGGAUUCAAGCGUUAUCCGGAUUUAUUGGGUUUAAAGGGUGCGUAGGCGGUCGGAUAAGUUAGAGGUGAAAUCCCGAGGCUCAACUUCGGAAUUGCCUCUGAUACUUGUCGGCUAGAGAGUAGUUGCGGUAGGCGGAAUGUAUGGUGUAGCGGUGAAAUGCUUAGAGAUCAUACAGAACACCGAUUGCGAAGGCAGCUUACCAAGCUACGUCUGACGUUGAGGCACGAAAACGUGGGGAGCAAACAGGAUUAGAUACCCGUGUAGUC
rnacentral:rRNA from 1 species